AACGAACGCUGGCGGCAUGCCUAACACAUGCAAGUCGAACGAGACCUUCGGGUCUAGUGGCGCACGGGUGCGUAACGCGUGGGAACCUGCCCUUAGGUUCGGAAUAACUCCCCGAAAGGGGUGCUAAUACCGGAUAAUGUCUUCGGACCAACGAUUUAUCGCCUUUGGAUGGGCCCGCGUUGGAUUAGCUAGUUGGUAGCGUAAAAGCCUACCAAGGCGACGAUCCAUAGCUGGUCUGAGAGGAUGAUCAGCCACACUGGGACUGAGACACGGCCCAGAUUCCUACGGGAGGCAGCAGUGGGGAAUAUGGGACGAUGGGCGAAAGCCUGAUCCAGCAAGGCCGCGUGAGUGAUGAAGGCCGGAGGGUUGUAAAGCUCUUUUACCCGGGAUGAUAAUGACAGUACCGGGAGAAUAAGCUCCGGCUAACUCCGU
rnacentral:rRNA from 1 species